GACGAACGCUGGCGGCAUGCCUAACACAUGCAAGUCGAACGGAGAUUACUUCGGUAAUCUUAGUGGCGAACGGGUGAGUAACGCGUGGGCAACCUGCCCUCUAGAUGGGGACAACAUCCCGAAAGGGGUGCUAAUACCGAAUGUGACAGCAAUCUCGCAUGAGGAUGCUGUGAAAGAUGGCCUCUAUUUAUAAGCUAUCGCUAGAGGAUGGGCCUGCGUCUGAUUAGCUAGUUGGUGGGGUAACGGCCUACCAAGGCGAUGAUCAGUAGCCGGUCUGAGAGGAUGAACGGCCACAUUGGGACUGAGACACGGCCCAGACUCCUACGGGAGGCAGCAGUGGGGAAUCUUCCGCAAUGAGCGAAAGCCUGACGGAGCAAUGCCGCGUGAGUGAUGAAGGAAUUCGUUCCGUAAAGCUCUUUUGUUUAUGACGAAUGUGCAGAUUGUAAAUAAUAAUCUGUAAUGACGGUAGUAAACGAAUAAGCCACGGCUAACUACGUGC
rnacentral:rRNA from 1 species